AUUGAACGCUGGCGGCAUGCUUUACACAUGCAAGUCGAACGGCAGCACGGGCUUCGGCCUGGUGGCGAGUGGUGAACGGGUGAGUAAUGCAUCGGAACGUGCCCAUUUGUGGGGGAUAACUACGCGAAAGCGUGGCUAAUACCGCAUACGCCCUGAGGGGGAAAGCGGGGGAUUCUUCGGAACCUCGCGCAAUUGGAGCGGCCGAUGUCAGAUUAGCUUGUUGGUGAGGUAAAGGCUCACCAAGGCGACGAUCUGUAGCGGGUCUGAGAGGAUGAUCCGCCACACUGGGACUGAGACACGGCCCAGACUCCUACGGGAGGCAGCAGUGGGGAAUUUUGGACAAUGGGGGCAACCCUGAUCCAGCCAUGCCGCGUGAGUGAAGAAGGCCUUCGGGUUGUAAAGCUCUUUCAGCCGGGAAGAAAACGCACUCUCUAACGUAGGGUGUGGAUGACGGUACCGGAAGAAGAAGCACCGGCUAACUACGUG
rnacentral:rRNA from 1 species